GUGGCCUAGUGGUUAGAGCGUCCGCCUCGGAUGAGGAAGGUCGCCGAUUCAAACCCCGGUCAAAUCA